GCCGCUUGCCACACACAGUCUUUUUCCAAGGAGAAUGCAUCUGGUGAGCAGGCCCAAAAUGCGUGUGAAGAUGUGCUGUGUCCACACACGGCAGUGGAGUUACAAACAUGGAUUCUUCAGAACCCCUGAAAAAAGAUUAAAUGAAGUAACAGUAAUGAAUCAGACACAGAAUGUUCCAGUAGAGUUAUGUUACAGAAUAAUCACUCCAUCAUACCCAUGGUCUACAAAUGGCCUAGAUUUCCUUCUAGAACAUCUUUGUUCACAAAGCAGAAAACAAGACGAUGUGGCUCAAGAGGUGCUAUUUCAAAAGGUAGCCCAAAAAGGGUAGAGGAAAAAUCUUCGAAAACCUCUGGAAACAGAUAACCAUGCUCGAGGAACGGGAUAUAGAUAAGUCAACAUAUCCCCUUAGUGUGUUGGGAUUGAAGUGAUUCAGAAAAAGAAUGAAAUAAGAAAUAAAAAGAGGCAUUUGGGACAAAGGAGAAGACAUGAAAAUAAUUGCCCUUCAAGCCAGCUGGAAUUUGGCAAGUGUCAGCUCUAGCUGGCUGUGCUUUGUCUUCACUUAAGAUCUCCAUUAAAGUCUGAUUUGCAACUUCCUAAU
rnacentral:lncRNA from 11 species